UUAGCCGGUGCUUAUUCUGUCGGUAACGUCAAAACAGCAAAGUAUUAAUUUACUGCCCUUCCUCCCAACUUAAAGUGCUUUACAAUCCGAAGACCUUCUUCACACACGCGGCAUGGCUGGAUCAGGCUUUCGCCCAUUGUCCAAUAUUCCCCACUGCUGCCUCCCGUAGGA
rnacentral:rRNA from 1 species